rnacentral:misc_RNA from 1 species
AACUAAGAAAUGAACUGAUAAAUUGCAUAAAAAAUAGGAACAAGGGAAUGAAGUCAACAAGUUUAGUUACCUACAUUUUCUCAAGACCUCGCAUUCUGAGAGUAAAGAAGACACAUCGUGAGCUUUCAUUAUUCAAAGUUGGAUGAUGCAUUUCCAACAAGCAUCAAAAAGAUCUUUUUUUCUUUUUUAAACAGAGAAUCCCAACUUGGUUAUAAGCUCCCUAAACUGAAAAACAGUAGGCAGUGGCAAAGGAGUCAAGACAGAGAGGUCUGUGAACAGUGAUGGUGGUUGAGCAUUGCUAAUGCAACCUAGAAAGUAAUAUAACAAUCUCUUAGUAAAUACUGAAACAUCACAGGAAGAGGAAAUGUGUCAGAAAUUCAAAAUAUUUCGCUGUUAAAUAAUGAUUAUAAUUUUAUUAAAGAAGAAAAAUAACUUCAUUUUCAUAACCAAGAAAUAAUGCAUCCCUUGAAUGUGUUACAUUAUGAAUUAUGAAAAUGAUCCAUAUCUCCAGCACUUUGAAAAUGAGUACAAGGAUAAAAAUAAAACCCCACUUUGAAUGACAAAGGCACUUAAAAUCAUAUCAAGUUACUAUAGUCUAUAGCAUAUCACACAUUUUUCAAUCUAUAUGCAUCUGGUUAAAAUUAAAUCCCCAAACUUCAGCAAUUCAAUUAUAUGAUUUCUAACAAAAAAUAAUAAAUAAAUAACAAAAGCACACUUCAGCAAAUUAUAAAUUGAAUUAUGAAAAUAUCAAUUUAUUAACCAAACCACCAAUCAACCUAAGAUUUGGAUCAAAAGCAAUUACUAGGUGUUCCAAUUUAGCAAA